rnacentral:rRNA from 1 species
GGAUUAGAUACCCUGGUAGUCCACGCCGUAAACUUUGUGUACUAGAUGUUGGAAGUUUCAACUCUUUCAGUGUCGCAGCUAACGCAUUAAGUACACCGCCUGGGGAGUACGCCCGCAAGGGUGAAACUCAAAGGAAUUGACGGGGGCCCGCACAAGCGGUGGAGCAUGUGGUUUAAUUCGAUGAUACGCGAGGAACCUUACCUGGGCUAGAAUGUGAGCGCAAUUCCCAGAGAUGGGAAGUUCUUCGGACGUGAAACAAGGUGCUGCAUGGCUGUCGUCAGCUCGUGUUG